rfam:Pteropus alecto contig78300, whole genome shotgun sequence.
UUGCUUUGGCAGCAAAUACACUAAAAUUGGAACGAUAUAAAGAAGAUUAGCAUGGCCCCUGUGCAAGGAUGACAUGCAAAUUUGUGAAGCAUUCCACAUUUUU